GGUAGCGGAGAAAUUCCAAUCGAACUUGGAGAUAGCUGGUUCUCUCCGAAAUAGCUUUAGGGCUAGCCUCGCAUUUAUCAUUGUGGUGGUAAAGCACUGACUGGGCUAGGGGCCUCACAAGGUUACCGAACUCAAUCAAACUCUGAAUGCCAUAAAUGUUUGUGCGGGAGUCAGACUACGGGUGCUAAGAUUCGUGGUCGAGAGGGAAACAACCCAGAUCAACAGCUAAGGUCCCAAAGUAAUAGUUAAGUGGAAAAGGAAGUGGGGAAGCACUGACAGCCAGGAGGUUUGCUUAGAAGCA
rnacentral:rRNA from 1 species